AACGCACGAGACCUGCGGACCUGCGGAGGGAUCAUUACAGAGUACCGGCACCCCCUGGGCGCCUACUCCAACCCUGUGUCUACCACUACUGUUGCUUUGGCAGGCCGGCGCCCCGCGCGCCGCCGGCUCGCGCUGGAGAGUGCCUGCCAGAGGAGACCUAAACUAUGUCCACAGUGCUAUCUGAGUGACCAAAAAAAUUAAAUCAAAACUUUCAACAACGGAUCUCUAGAUCGGAAGAGC
rnacentral:misc_RNA from 1 species